GAUCCUGGCUCAGGAUGAACGCUGGCGGCGUGCCUAAUACAUGUAAGUCGAACGCUUCACUUCGGUGAAGAGUGGCGAACGGGUGAGUAAUACAUAAGUAACCUGGCAUCUACAGGGGGGAUAACUGAUGGGAAAACGUCAGCUAAGACCGCAUAGGUGUAGAGAUCGCAUGAACUCUAUAUGAAAAGUGCUACGGGACUGGUAGAUGAUGGACUUAUGGCGCAUUAG
rnacentral:rRNA from 1 species